rnacentral:antisense_RNA from 1 species
CUUCGCGGAGCCGAGCCACAACGGGCGGUCCUCCGCACGGCCCUGGCCGUAGGUGGCGAGACCUGGCCGUAGGUGGCGAGAAGUGCCUGCGCCUC